rnacentral:rRNA from 1 species
GAUGAACGCUAGCGACAGGCUUAACACAUGCAAGUCGAGGGGCAGCACGGGAGUAGUAAUACAACUGGUGGCGACCGGCGCACGGGUGAGUAACGCGUAUGCAACCUACCUAUCAGAGGGGAAUAACCCGGCGAAAGUCGGACUAAUACCGCAUAAAACAGGGGCACCGCAUGGUGCUAUUUGUUAAAGACAUUCGCAGAUAGCUGGGCAUGCGUUCCGUUAGGUAGUUGGUGAGGUAACGGCUCACCAGGCCGACGAUGGAUAGGGGAACUGAGAGGUUGGUCCCCCACACUGGUACUGAGACACGGACCAGACUCCUACGGGAGGCAGCAGUGAGGAAUAUUGGUCAAUGGGCGAGAGCCUGAACCAGCCAAGUCGCGUGAAGGAAGAAGGAUCUAUGGUUCGUAAACUUCUUUUGCAGGGGAAUAAAGUGCAGGACGUGUCCUGUUUUGUAUAUACCCUGAGAAUCAGGAUCGGCUAACUCCGUGCCAGCCGCCGCCGUAA